GAUAUGACCUGAAACAAUGACAUUCUUUUGUCCCAGAUGACAUGCCGUUCCAGACUAUGUUUACUGCUGGGAGAGUCAUGACAACAAGUUUCCAAGAUCGCUGAAAUGCAGCACAAGAGCAGUUGUUUUAGUUUAAUGUUGCAUCAAAAGGGGAACGAAUGAAUGGCCUGAAAAAAGAAACAAGGUCCUGAGCCAAUAGUGAGCUUGUUCAGCAAGGUACAUCUGUGUAUCAAAGGGAUUCCCAGGGCAGGAGGUAACCAUACAAAAGGAACACACAAGAGUUUUUCAGUGAUUUUGUUCAUUGAAAGUCAUUUUUAUAGUGAUUAAAUUAUCUAUUUAAUAC